rnacentral:rRNA from 1 species
AUUGAACGCUGGCGGCAGGCUUAACACAUGCAAGUCGAGCGGAGAUGAGGUGCUUGCACCUUAUCUUAGCGGCGGACGGGUGGGUAAUGCUUAGGAAUCUGCCUAUUAGUGGGGGACAACAUUCCGAAAGGAAUGCUAAUACCGCAUACGCCCUACGGGGGAAAGCAGGGGAUCUUCGGACCUUGCGCUAAUAGAUGAGCCUAAGUCGGAUUAGCUAGUUGGUGGGGUAAAGGCCUACCAAGGCGACGAUCUGUAGCGGGUCUGAGAGGGUGAUCCGCCACACUGGGACUGAGACACGGCCCAGACUCCUACGGGAGGCAGCAGUGGGGAAUAUUGGACAAUGGGCGGAAGCCUGAUCCAGCCAUGCCGCGUGUGUGAAGAAGGCCUUUUGGUUGUAAAGCACUUUAAGCGAGGAGGAGGCUACCUGGAUUAAUACUCUAGGAUAGUGGACGUUACUCGCAGAAUAAGCACCGGCUAACUCUGUGCCAGCCGCCGCCGUAAUAC